rnacentral:rRNA from 1 species
UACGUAGGGUGCGAGCGUUAAUCGGAAUUACUGGGCGUAAAGCGUGCGCAGGCGGUUUUGUAAGUCGGAUGUGAAAUCCCCGGGCUUAACCUGGGAAUUGCAUUCGGGACUGCAAGGCUGGAGUGCGGCAGAGGAGACUGGAAUUCCUGGUGUAGCAGUGAAAUGCGUAGAUAUCAGGAGGAACACCGAUGGCGAAGGCAGGUCUCUGGGCUGAUACUGACGCUCAUGCACGAAAGCGUGGGGAGCAAACAGG